rnacentral:rRNA from 1 species
CCAGACUCCUACGGGAGGCAGCAGUGGGGAAUAUUGCACAAUGGGGGAAACCCUGAUGCAGCGACGCCGCGUGAGUGAAGAAGUAUCUCGGUAUGUAAAGCUCUAUCAGCAGGGAAGAAGAUGACGGUACCUGAGUAAGAAGCCCCGGCUAACUACGUGCCAGCAGCCGCGGUAAUACGUAGGGGGCAAGCGUUAUCCGGAUUUACUGGGUGUAAAGGGAGCGUAGACGGCGGCGCAAGUCUGGAGUGAAAGCCCGUGGCUCAACCACGGGACUGCUUUGGAAACUGUAUGGCUGGAGUGCAGGAGAGGUAAGCGGAAUUCCUAGUGUAGCGGUGAAAUGCGUAGAUAUUAGGAGGAACACCAGUGGCGAAGGCGGCUUACUGGACUGUAACUGACGUUGAGGCUCGAAAGCGUGGGGAGCAAACAGGAUUAGAUACCCGCGUAA